rnacentral:rRNA from 1 species
AACGAACGCUGGCGGCAGGCUUAACACAUGCAAGUCGAACGCAUCCUUCGGGGUGAGUGGCAGACGGGUGAGUAACGCGUGGGAACGUGCCCUUCAGUUCGGGAUAACACAGGGAAACUUGGGCUAAUACCGGAUACGUGCGAGAGCAGAAAGAUUUAUCGCUGAAGGGUCGGCCCGCGACUGAUUAGCUCGUUGGUGGGGUAAUAGCCCACCAAGGCGACGAUCAGUAGCUGGUAUGAGAGGAUGAUCAUCCACAUUGGGACUGAGAACCGGCCCAAACUCCUACGGGAGGCAGCAGUGGGGAAUAUUGGACAAUGGGGGCAAGCCUGAUCCAGCCAUGCCGCGGGAGUGAUGAAGGCCUUAGGGUUGUAAAGCUCUUUCGUCCGGGACGAUAAUGACGGUACCGGAAGAAGAAGCCCCGGCUAACUUCGUGCCAGCCGCCGCUGUAA